GAUGAAGAACGUAGCGAAAUGCGAUAAGUAAUGCGAAUUGCAGAAUUCAGUGAGUCAUCGAAUCUUUGAACGCACAUUGCGCCCUGUGGUAUCCCGCAGGGCAUGCCUGUUCGAGCGUCAUUUCAACCCUCAAGCCUCGCUUGGUGUUGGGCCCUGCCCGCCGCGGCCGGCCCUAAAGAUAGUGGCGGCGCCGCCUGGCCCUCAGCGUAGUACAGCUCUCGCUCCAGGGUCCGGCGGCAGCCUGCCAGAACCCCCCAACUCUGUGGUUGACCUCGGAUCAGGUAGGGAUACCCGCUGAACUUAAGCAUAUCAAUAAGCGGAGGA
rnacentral:misc_RNA from 1 species